rnacentral:rRNA from 1 species
GAUGAACGCUAGCGGCAGGCUUAAUACAUGCAAGUCGAGGGGCAGCAGGGGUAGCAAUACUCGCUGGCGACCGGCAAACGGGUGCGGAACACGUACGCAACCUUCCCAAAACUGGUGAAUAGCCCUCCGAAAGGAGGAUUAAUACACCGUAACAUAGUGAAGUGGCAUCACUUUAUUAUUAUAGCUCCGGCGGUUUUGGAUGGGCGUGCGCCUGAUUAGGUAGUUGGCGGGGUAACGGCCCACCAAGCCUGCGAUCAGUAACUGGUGUGAGAGCACGACCAGUCACACGGGCACUGAGACACGGGCCCGACUCCUACGGGAGGCAGCAGUAAGGAAUAUUGGUCAAUGGACGCAAGUCUGAACCAGCCAUGCCGCGUGGAGGAUGAAGGUCCUCU